rnacentral:lncRNA from 1 species
AUGAAGAUGUCAACAGCAGCAAUAAUGAGGGGCCACGCAGGCCUCAUCGGAGUCAGGGGCACAGUUAGAACCCAGAGCUGCCUGAGGCCGGCAGGCCUUGUAAUUAGCCACUGUGAUGCGAUGCUUCUGAGGCCCUCGCUGGUUGGAAUAAUUAACGCAGGUCUGCGUAUGGUCUGUGGCUUUGCUGGCUUUGACCCUUUUAGGACCCAGGGUGCAGAGGCAGCAGCUGGAGAAUGUUCUUCCCAUCGUGGACGGCAGGAGCUCAAGAAAGGUUGCUUCCUUCGAGUUUUCCCUGUGAAGCUUCACCUUGGCGUGGUCCACAUGGAAGGCAGAAUCAACCCCACUCACAGGCCUCCACCAAGGCUGCUGCGGGUCUAUCAGCUUGUUCCCCGGGAGUUCAGGAGCCUCCUCAGACCUUCCCGAGGGUCCUCCAGCGAGUCCUCAGUCUCAGCUCUCACAGACAGAAAAGAGAGAUCUGAAAGGCUUAGCAGAAGGAGUUAA